rnacentral:rRNA from 1 species
AUUGAACGCUGGCGGCAUGCCUUACACAUGCAAGUCGAACGGCAGCGCGGGAGCAAUCCUGGCGGCGAGUGGCGAACGGGUGAGUAAUAUAUCGGAACGUGCCCAGUAGUGGGGGAUAGCCCGGCGAAAGCCGGAUUAAUACCGCAUACGACCUACGGGUGAAAGGGGGGGAUCGCAAGACCUCUCGCUAUUGGAGCGGCCGAUAUCAGAUUAGGUAGUUGGUGGGGUAAAGGCCUACCAUGCCUGCGAUCUGUAGUUGGUCUGAGAGGACGGCCAGCCACUCUGGGACUGAGACACGGCCCAGACUCCUACGGGAGGCAGCAGUGGGGAAUUUUGGACAAUGGGCGCAAGCCUGAUCCAGCAAUGCCGCGUGCAGGAAGAAGGCCUUCGGGUUGUAAACUGCUUUUGUCAGGGAAGAAAUCCUCUGGGUUAAUACCUCGGGGGGAUGACGGUACCUGAAGAAUAAGCACCGGCUAACUACGUGCCAGCCGCCGCGGUAACAC